rnacentral:rRNA from 1 species
AGUCGAGCGGGCGUAGCAAUACGUCAGCGGCGGACGGGUGAGCAACACGUGGGAACAUGCCCUUCGGUACGGAACAACUCAGGGAAACUUGAGCUAAUACCGCAUACGCCCCGCAAGGGGGAAAGAUUUAUCGCCGAAGGAUUGGCCCGCGUCCGAUUAGCUAGUUGGUGAGGUAAAAGCCCACCAAGGCACCGAUCGGUAGCUGGUUUGAGAGAACGACCAGCCACACUGGGACUGAGACACGGCCCAGACUCCUACGGGAGGCAGCAGUAGGGAAUCUUGGACAAUGGGGGAAACCCUGAUCCAGCCAUGCCGCGUGAGUGAUGAAGGCCUUCGGGUUGUAAAACUCUUUCGGCGGGGACGAUAAUGACGGUACCCGCAGAAGAAGCUCCGGCUAACUUCGUGCCAGCAGCCGCGGUAAUACGAAGGGGGCUAGCGUUGUUCGGAAUUACUGGGCGUAAAGCGCGCGCAGGCGGCCUUUCAAGUCAGGGGUGAAAGCCCGGAGCUCAACUCCGGAAUUGCCUUUGAAACUGUCAGGCUCGAGUACGGGAGAGGUGAGUGGAAUUCCCAGUGUAGAGGUGAAAUUCGUAGAUAUUGGGAAGAACACCGGUGGCGAAGGCGGCUCACUGGCCCGUUUCUGACGCUCAGGCGCGACAGCGUGGGGAUCAAACAGGAUUAGAUACCCUGGUAGUCCACGCCGUAAACUAUGGACGCUAGCCGUUGGCAGGCUUGCCUGUCAGUGGCGCAGCUAACGCAUUAAGCGUCCCGCCUGGGGAGUACGGCCGCAAGGUUGAAACUCAAGGAAUUGACGGGGGCCCGCACAAGCGGUGGAGCAUGUGGUUUAAUUCGACGCAAC